UGUGAAGCUCGUGAGGUGGUGGAGACGACUACAUGAAGAGAAGCUGAGAUUUCUCCUUCUUCUGCUCAGAGAGAAAGAUCAGGUCACAAGCUCGAAUUCCGAGUCGAUGAAGAAGAUAUACAUGAAGGUGAAAAGUAAGGGGAAGAGAAGUGAGAAGUUUCAAGAAGUUGUGGCAACUCUUCUCAAGAAAAUAUUGAUUGUUUUAAAGACAGAGGAAGUGCUAGCCCAAUGAAUUGUUGGAAUAGACAGCUUCUGGGAAUUAACGUGGCUUCAUGUUAACAACAUUGCUCCAUCCAUGCGACCCAAGGUAUUCCCUGAUCACGAACCUUCAGAGUUUACACAACUUGGAAGUGAUGAAACCGUCUCAACCACCUUUGAACGGCUUAGCAUAUGCCGAAGAAAGACCAACCGCAGCUGGUUAGGAUUUCUUCAAAAUCAAAGGCUGGAUAGCACAACCAUAGUCCAACAUGUAGUGAGAUGACCGUUGCAGUGUUUUAAGCUCACUGGACUUUGGGGAAGAAAGUGUUUUGGGCUUCCAGACCAUUUUAAUGUUGUUGGGCUUUGGCCUGUUUGCUGAGACACUCACUUCUCCUUUUGUCGUUUCCUUGUCUGAGAGCAAAGUACUCUUGUUGUUGCUUUUCUCAGCUAGGUCAAAUUCUCCUUUCUUCGAAUUUGGAUCUUCCUCCUUAAUAGUCCCCCUCAAACUCGGAGUAGGUGGGACAGCGACACCGAGUUUGAAUCGAAGAGAAGUAAAAGGGCCCGGCGAAAGCGACUUUGUGAAGAUGUCAGCGAGCUGGAGAGUGUUUGGUAUAUGAGUAACCCGAAGAUUCCCCAAGGCGACCUGCUCCCGUACAUAGUGCCAGUGUGUCUGAAAGUGUUUGCUGCGUUUAUGGAAGGCCGGAUUCGCUGUCAAAUAGACGGAGGAGAGAUUAUCACAGUACAACUCCGGAGGACAGUAGAGAGAGCUUUUUGCUACCGUUGGCUGUUUUUGAGAUUGCCAGGAGAUAACAUUCGUUCCCAAAAAGGUACAAAAACCACCUGUAGAUCUUCUAGUGGAGAGACAGCCCCCAUAGUCGCUAUCACUGAGAUUAAAGUCGGAGACGGUAGGCGUGUGCAUCUUCUGACACACGAAGUUCACCGCAAAUUGAAUGUCUGGCCUUGUCAGCGUGAGCGGCAGUGGAGUAGGCAUUGGGGCGCAAUCUAACAUCCCAGCUAUGGCAAGUAAGUCUUCAGCAUACUUUUGCUGAGACAAGAAAAGUCCCCCUGAAUGAUAUUGCAUCUGUAUGCCUAGAAAGUAGCUUAGCUUUCCCAGAUCUUUCAUGCGGAACCGUUUGUUGAGUUCUACCAGCAGCUGAGUUAAGACUUCUGAACUAUUCCCUGUUAUAGCCAUAUCAUCCACAUAUAGUAAUAGCAGAAUAAUAGCUUUACCUUUGGUGUAGAUGAACAGAGAAGGGUCUGACAUGCUGCAGAAGAAGCCAAACUCCAAAAGAUAAGUGCUAAACUUAUCAAACCAUGCUCGUGGUGAUUGUUUUAGACCAUACAGUGACUUGUGCAGAUGACAAACAUAAUCUGGAUGUGCAGGAUCAAUGAAGCCGGCAGGUUGUGUCAUGUACACAGUUUCAGUAAGAUCUCCAUGGCUGUAGGUUUCAAGAUAAUCAAUACCCUCUUCUUGAUCAAAGCCCUUGGCCACCAAUCUUGCCUUGAGUUUAUCUAGUGUUCCAUCUGCAUUGAGCUUUGUGCGGAAUACCCAUUUACAACCCAGAAUGUGCAUGUCUGGUGUUCUAGGGAUUAGGGACCAUGUUCCUGCUUCUUGGCAGUUAUCAUACUCCUCAUUCAUGGCUCCAUUCCAUCCAGAAUCUUUAAGGGCAGCAGUAACAGUUUUUGGCUCUGGAUAUGUUACUCUGGAGGUGAACAGCACAUAUCUGGGAUUAGGUUUUCUGAUACCUGCUUUAGACCUUGUGAUCAUGGGAUGUACUGGAGCUGCUUCUUGUAUAACUUGACUUGUUGUUGCAUUUGUUUCUUGUUGUUGUUGAGCAGACUCAUAUUGUUCUGUUUCUGUUGUAGGUGAAUUGCUGAGUGUUGGGGACAUAGUAGCUGCACUGUCACUACUAUGAGAAGAUGAAGGAGAACUGUUGCCUAUAGGAUCAGGAUCAAAGCCUGCCGUACACCCAGAAUUCUCCUCAUCUCUCACAAUAGUUUGUGCCUCAAGCUGUAAAGGAUCCACGGAUGCUUCAGAGGUGCCUUGUCAGGUGGUGGUAUGGGAAUACUCUUGGACCAGGCAGCAAGGAGAGGUGUUGAGACCAUUUGCGGGGUUGGUGCAGACCUGUGAAAAGGAAAGUCUUGUUCAUCAAACAGGACAUGGCGGCUGAUGUACACUCUCCCUGAUGCCACGAUCUCUUAAAGUGGGAUAACAGGCGCAUCCAAAUGUUCUUAAUGACGUAUACUCUGGUUGUUGUCCAUUCAGAACUUCAAAGGGACU